rnacentral:lncRNA from 1 species
UUGGGAGCAAAGGUAUACAUGUGUGGAAGCCAUCCUUUGCAUAAUUUUAUUCCAAAUAUAUAUACUUUCUCCUCUUAACUGGGGGAUAUUUCAAAAAGGGAGGAUCUCGUGUGUAAGAAUUGGUUGACCCUGCAUUUUACUAUUCAUUAUUAUUUAUACACCCCGAAUGUAAAGUGUCACCAUGUGUGAAUUUAUAAUCAGCCGUAGUAAUCUUGAUAUAGAUAUACACACACACUGAAGUCUGAAAACAAGCUAGUAAAACUACUUGCUUUGAAAGCAACACUACAUUUUAUAUUGAGUGGUACUGCCAUUGCCUCACCUUUGAUUGCUAUAUGAACCAUGCUAUUAUUGAGACAAUGGAGUGGGAUGUCAAUGCCAUUGGUUGAGUGCAAAUAUUUAGUUUUUGUAUUUAAAUUAUGAGUGAAAGGGUGAGACAGAGUUUGUUACUGCAUUUACGCCAUUUAGUUUGUUCAAAUAUUUGCUUGGAGCUAUGUAAGUUUACAUCGGUGCCAUAAAUUAUGCUUCAACUUUCAUACCAUCGGAUACAUAAUAGUUUCUGUAUAAUUUUCAACUUUAUAAGCAAUUCAGCAGCUACAUUGUUACAGGAAAUUAGAUACUCUGAGAAGCUUCUGCAAGAUCUAGAUAUCAUUUGUUCUCUAUCGCUCGAGCCUUUGUGUUUGACACUAACAAAAAUAUAAAACGCGGGUGUGCCAGUGUCCACGCCAGCAUCAAAAGAUGCAUGCCGGCCGGUGGCACAAAUACCCGAAUACGUAUGUGUACAUAAGCAGGUAUUCAGCCAUGUAUAUAUAUAUAUAUAUAUAUAUAUAUAUAUAUAUAUAUAUAUAUAUAUACAGGCUGAUGCAUGCGUCACUGCUUUACAAAAAAACCGUAUUGAUCCGUGCAUUUUGGUCCUUGUAAGACUAGGCUGGUGAAUCAUCUGACCGUGACAUCCCCACUAAUGCAUCGCUUUAAUCAAUCCACUAACUUAUACACGCACGUCUUGCCUCUACGUACAUCUGCAUGGCAUUUUUUUUAGUUGUGCAUGGCAUAAUAUUUAAAUCUGUAUGGGCACUCCUUGCUCCAUAGAUAUGUUCUCAAGCUUCUCCCAAGCUUGUUAGGAAAAGAGAAUAUUGGGACAAAAUAUUUUCGUACUAUUUCUAGUAUGAAUUCUCAUCGAACACUGUGCUUGUGAAUGUGCUUCAGUUCAAUGGAUAACUCCAAAAACCUGUACCUAAUUUGAUCCUGAUAGCAUUUUCUUCAGGUGGUAACACUUGUCUCAGUUAUUACAGUAACUUUGUCAAUGUAGAGUUGUUUUGCAGUUUGCACUAUUAGAAGUAUCUCCUAGAUAAAAAAUAUUCUAUAACCAAACAUGAUUAAUACAUGUGUUGUGUUUGAUAUAGAUUUGUAGCUUAUAUCAUUUAUAUAAUACAUCAGUUUUUCAAUUGUAUAUUUAUAUGGGUUGUUCAUUAACUAAGGCCCUAUUCGGAUCCCCUCCGCUCCCCUACUGCAGCUCCCGGAGCGGAGGGAGUGCCAGCACAAUCGCGCGGAGCAGUUCGAACCCGGCUCCUCGCGCGGAGCGGAGUUGAGAAUCUAGAAGCUUCCGAACAGGCAGUAACUUUUGCACAAAUUUGGUUACGAGUCAUUGCUUUUUGCACAAAUUUGGUCAUGGGGUAAUCAAUCCAGAAUCUCAACAUUCUAGCAUUUUGCACAAAUUUGUGAAGUUCGACUUCUUAGUGUCAUGGCUCACAACUAAAUGUUCCAGGAUUAUUAUAUUGCAGAACUCAGAUGUGAAAAUCAAACUACUUUUGCUUGAUCCUAUUGAGUAUGAACAUGAAACAAUGCUUGCCUGUGCUGUCAGCUACUGUUCCUAAUUCACCACACAUUGUGCUAUCUUUCAUUCAAUUAAAUGUAUAACCUUGCUUUUCAUUUGAUUCGUACAACAACUGCAUCUUGCUUCCAGAAUUUCUUCAUGGUCCUGUGUAAUCUAUCUCUCAUAAUUAUAUACACAUUAUGCCUGAACCUGUGUUGUUUGUGUGAAAGGAAACAUCUCUAGUAUUUUCAAAUGUUUAUACAUAGCUUGAACUAUAUUGGAAGGUAUCAAUGUUUGUGAAUUAAUACUCAAGCCACAAUAAUAUUGGUAUAGAUAUAUAUGUGAAGCUUGAAAAUACGCCAGUAGGAAUACAUGUCAGCUGCCAUAUGUAGUUGUAAGCUACUUGCUUUAAAAACAUCACUAUGGUUUGCUUUUGUGCUUGCAAAAUGAUUAUUAUGCAAGCAUGUACUUGCUGUCUGAGCCUAUAUUCUUUGUUUGUGUGCUACAGUACAUAUCAUUUACCAAAGUUAUUAGCUCAUGGCAUUUGAACCAUCUUAUCUAUUCAGGUUGGCAUCAUCACUGGAAGAUGUUUCUACAUGAUGUUUCUUCUCUUCGUAUUAACAUCUUAAAAGCAUUACAAAUUCGUAACUCUUCUGCUGGAGACAUGUGGCCAUCUUCGAAUAAUGCAGUUUCAUUGGAUGGUGUGAGUUUGGUAUUCAGAUGAAUAUGUUAAUUCCAUCAAAGAAACAGCUUGAACAGAAAUGUACAAAAGAGUAAUCACGCAACUUGUAUUCGUGGACAUGGCUACAGCUAUGCACUAAAGUUAAACCAUUUGUGUAGCUUCAGUCUAAGGACACAAAAUCUUAUCGUCUUAUGUAAAUUUUGUUAACCGUUGUAGCUAGAUGCUACUAAACACAUGUACGGAAAUAAGCUUAUUUGUACUGAACUUUUAGUUUGUGAAUGUUUAUGAAAGUUUAAGGUUUUGGGUGAGGUAUAUAUGGAACUUUGAUUGAAGUGUAUAAUUUGAGUGUUCUUUCUUGGUUUCCUGACAUAGUGAAUGGAUAUUGAAUGCU